GACGAACGCUGGCGGCGUGCUUAACACAUGCAAGUCGAACGGAAAGGCCCUGCUUUUGUGGGGUGCUCGAGUGGCGAACGGGUGAGUAACACGUGAGUAACCUGCCCUUGACUUUGGGAUAACUUCAGGAAACUGGGGCUAAUACCGGAUAGGAGCUCCUGCUGCAUGGUGGGGGUUGGAAAGUUUCGGCGGUUGGGGAUGGACUCGCGGCUUAUCAGCUUGUUGGUGGGGUAGUGGCUUACCAAGGCUUUGACGGGUAGCCGGCCUGAGAGGGUGACCGGCCACAUUGGGACUGAGAUACGGCCCAGACUCCUACGGGAGGCAGCAGUGGGGAAUAUUGCACAAUGGGCGGAAGCCUGAUGCAGCAACGCCGCGUGCGGGAUGACGGCCUUCGGGUUGUAAACCGCUUUCGCCUGUGACGAAGCGUGAGUGACGGUAAUGGGUAAAGAAGCACCGGCUAACUACGUGCCAGCAGCCGCGGUGAUACGUAGGGUGCGAGCGUUGUCCGGAUUUAUUGGGCGUAAAGGGCUCGUAGGUGGUUGAUCGCGUCGGAAGUGUAAUCUUGGGCCCUAAUGGUGAGCGUGCUUUCGAUACGGGUUGACUUGAGGAAGUUAGGGGAGAAUGGAAUUCCUGGUGGAGCGGUGGAAUGCGCAGAUAUCAGGAGGAACACCAGUGGCGAAGGCGGUUCUCUGGGCCUUUCCUGACGCUGAGGAGCGAAAGCGUGGGGAGCGAACAGGCUUAGAUACCCUGGUAGUCCACGCUGUAAACGGUGGGUACUAGGUGUGGGGUCCAUUCCACGGGUUCCGUGCCGUAGCUAACGCUUUAAGUACCCCGCCUGGGGAGUACGGCCGCAAGGCUAAAACCCAAAGGAAUUGACGGGGCCCCGCACAAGCGGCGGAGCAUGCGGAUUAAUUCGAUGCAACGCGUAGAACCUUACCUGGGUUUGACAUGGAUCGGGAGUGCUCAGAGAUGGGUGUGCCUCUUUUGGGGUCGGUUCACAGGUGGUGCAUGGCUGUCGUCAGCUCGUGUCGUGAGAUGUUGGGUUAAGUCCCGCAACGAGCGCAACCCUUGUUCACUGUUGCCAGCACGUUAUGGUGGGGACUCAGUGGAGACCGCCGGGGUCAACUCGGAGGAAGGUGGGGAUGACGUCAAGUCAUCAUGCCCCUUAUGUCCAGGGCUUCACGCAUGCUACAAUGGCUGGUACAGAGAGUGGCGAGCCUGUGAGGGUGAGCGAAUCUCGGAAAGCCGGUCUCAGUUCGGAUUGGGGUCUGCAACUCGACCUCAUGAAGUCGGAGUCGCUAGUAAUCGCAGAUCAGCAACGCUGCGGUGAAUACGUUCCCGGG
rnacentral:rRNA from 1 species